rnacentral:rRNA from 1 species
AUUGAACGCUGGCGGCAUGCUUUACACAUGCAAGUCGAACGGUAACAGGCCGCAAGGUGCUGACGAGUGGCGAACGGGUGAGUAAUGCAUCGGAACGCGCCCAGUCGUGGGGGAUAACUACUCGAAAGAGUAGCUAAUACCGCAUACGAUCUAUGGAUGAAAGCGGGGGACCGUAAGGCCUCGCGCGAUUGGAGCGGCCGAUGUCAGAUUAGGUAGUUGGUGGGGUAAAGGCUCGCCAAGCCAACGAUCUGUAGCUGGUCUGAGAGGACGACCAGCCACACUGGGACUGAGACACGGCCCAGACUCCUACGGGAGGCAGCAGUGGGGAAUUUUGGACAAUGGGCGCAAGCCUGAUCCAGCAAUGCCGCGUGCAGGAAGAAGGCCUUCGGGUUGUAAACUGCUUUUGUACGGAACGAAACGGCUCUGGUUAAUACCCGGGGCUAAUGACGGUACCGUAAGAAUAAGCACCGGCUAACUACGUG